GGGAUUGCCCUAGUAACGGCGAGUGAAGCGGCAACAGCUCAAAUUUGAAAUCUGGCUCUUUUAGAGUCCGAGUUGUAAUUUGCAGAGGGCGCUUUGGCAUUGGCAGCGGUCCAAGUUCUUUGGAACAGGACGUCACAGAGGGUGAGAAUCCCGUACGUGGUCGCUAGCCUUUACCGUGUAAAGCCCCUUCGACGAGUCGAGUUGUUUGGGAAUGCAGCUCUAAAUGGGAGGUAAAUUUCUUCUAAAGCUAAAUACUGGCCAGAGACCGAUAGCGCACAAGUAGAGUGAUCGAAAGAUGAAAAGCACUUUGGAAAGAGAGUCAAAUAGCACGUGAAAUUGUUGAAAGGGAAGCGCUUGCAGCCAGACUUGCCUGUAGUUGCUUAUCCGGACUUUUGUCCGGUGCACUCUUCUGCGGGCAGGCCAGCAUCAGUUUGGGCGGUUGGAUAAAGGUCUCUGUCAUGUACCUCUCUUCGGGGAGGCCUUAUAGGGGAGACGACAUGCAACCAGCCUGGACUGAGGUCCGCGCAUCUGCUAGGAUGCUGGCGUAAUGGCUGUAAGCGGCCCGUCUUGAAACACGGACCAAGGAGUCUAACAUCUAUGCGAGUGUUUGGGUGUCAAGCCCAGACGCGUAAUGAAAGUGAACGGAGGUGGGAACCCUUUGGGUGCACCAUCGACCGAUCCUGAUGUCUUCGGAAGGAUUUGAGUAAGAGCAUGGCUGUUGGGACCCGAAAGAUGGUGAACUAUGCUUGAAUAGGGUGAAGCCAGAGGAAACUCUGGUGGAGGCUCGCAGCGGUUCUGACGUGCAAAUCGAUCGUCAAAUUUGGGCAUAGGGGCG
rnacentral:rRNA from 1 species